rnacentral:lncRNA from 1 species
UGUCUAUCGAGACGUCACGACGGUUGUCAUUGGCUCGAGGGGAGUUCCGGGUCAUGACAUUUCUACUCAUUCUUUUCAACUUCAUGUUUUAGUUUUCAAGCUCGAAGGUAGUUGGAUCCUAAGUAGAGGUGCUUCCUCUUGUUCAACUUACGGUAGGUUUACCAGCACACCCUAUCAUAGUAUCCACGCCAGAGUCACUCCGCUGAUAGUCAAGGUCUUUUGUAUAUGUAUAUG